UGGUCAUGAUGUUUGUACAGGAAUAGAAA
rnacentral:piRNA from 1 species